AACUGGGACAGAGCCGGGACAGAGCCGGGACUGAACCGGGACAGAGCCGGGAGAGAAUCGGGACAGGACCGGGACAGAACCGGGACAGGACUGGGACAGAACUGGGACAGAACUGGGACAGAACUGGGACGGGCUGGGGGGCCCAGGAGAGAGCGGGAACCCCGGGACAGAGCGAGACCCUCGGUGGGGAACUGGGACCUGCUGGGACCUGCUGGGAGCCUCGGUGCGGAACUGGGACCAGAGGGGUGGAACCGGGAUGUGCCCGGAACCCGGGGAUGGAACCGGGAUAACGGGAUGGAACCGGGAUGGAACUGGGACAGAUAAUGGGGCGGUGGGGGGAACUGGGAGAGAACGGGAUCCUGGCGGGACAGAACCGGGACAGGAUAGAGACAGAACCGGGACAGAUCCGGGACAGAGCCGGGACAGGACCGGGACAGAACUGGGACAGAGCCGGGACAGAGCCGGGACUGAACCGAGACAGAACCGGGACAGGACUGGGACAGGACCGGGACAGAACCGGGACAGGACCGGGACACACUGGAGGAGGACGGAGGCACGGCCAGAACCGCUGGGAGGACCGGGACCUACUGGGACCCUCGGUGUGGAACUGGGACGUGCCGGGAGCCCCAGUUUGGGACCAGGACGUGCCGGGAGCCCUGGGAGCCACGGGCAGGACGGUCCCGGCAUGGAGCAGGAAAGCCCCGUGGGUGCCACCCGCUCUGACCCCGCCACCCCGCCCCUGUCCCCGCGUGAGGAGGAGGAGGAGGAGGAGGAGGAGGAGGAUGAGGAGGAUGAGGAGGAGGAGGAGGAGGGGAAGGCUGCACAGCGCCCCUGCGGGGGGGGGGGGGGGGGGGGGGGGGGGGGGGGGGGGGGGGGGGGGGGGGGGGGG
rnacentral:lncRNA from 12 species